UCUCUCUCUCUCUCUCUCUCUCUGGGAUCUCACUGCAUCUGGGAUGAGUCCAACUGAUGGUUUGAUUGUUUUUGGGGAUUUUUGGAUAUGAUCUUUGUUUGAUUUGGUUUAUUGUUUAAUUUUGCCUUGCAUGUUGAUUUUGGCUUGGGUUUCCUUACUCUCUGCUUCCUAGCUCUCUCAUCUACAAGGGACAUUGAAUUUCAGUUUAUAGGCUGUUUUGAUAUCUCGAGAAAGUUGAAUUUUGGCGUUUUCUCGGACGUGAGUUGCCUCUUGCCUCUGCCUUCCUCUCAACUGAAAGUUGGGUAUGCAGAGGAAGAUGAAGAAGAUGUGGGGAAUAGGAAGAAGAAAAGCAUAUCUGGAGAUUGGAAGAUGCUAUUGUCAGGAGGGACUUUGUUGCAAAUUAGUAAAAUAAGGAGAUACUCAAAGUUGUACAAAAGAAUUAUUGUAACAAAAUUUAUUUGUUUUUGGUAUCUCAGUUUAUUUUCUUUUU